AUUAUAUAUACUUUACCUGCCAAUACAGGUAGCAGCGACCGUGACAGCAGCAGCAGCUCUACAAACACAUUGUCAGGUGUCGGAAAAUACGUACAAACCGGCAAGUGAGCCAAUCAACACAAUGGUCCUAGUUAUAGCUUUUGUUAUUCUGUCAUUAACGUGCUAUACAAUAGCACUUAAUCCAAGAUGUCUGGAACUAAGAGACGUGGGGAACUACAUGUCCAACAAUCCAUCCUGGUACUUCGACUCUGAAGCAAAAGUGUGUAGAUAUAUCCGGUUUGGAGGUCCUUCACAAUCCGGAAACCACUUCACAUCACUUGAGGAGUGCCAGAGAGAAUGUGAAGCACCAAACAAUGAGAUGAUCUGGCCUUGGUAACGAUGAAAACUACAGUAUUUGAAAAUAAAGCUAUGUUCAUAUCACUUUU